rnacentral:lncRNA from 1 species
CGCUAUCUUUCUGAUGAAGUGUUAUAUCCAGCAGGGACAUGAGUGUAAAGUCAGAAGUCUGGAAAUAAUGACUGAUUGUAUGUAUCUUUGUAAUAUUAUCACACAGUAUGUGACUUACGAUCAGAUCUGAAUGUGUUUGUUCUUCUGUCUCACAGCUUCAUCUUCUUUUCCGGUCGUUGCUGUGGUUGCGGGAUCGAGUGUUUUCUUGUUGAUCUUCAUCUCUCUGCUGCUGCUGUGGAGAUACAAGAAGAACAAAGGUCUCUGAGUGCAGUGAAGACAACAGACGGCUAAAAGAGAUUCACAGCAGCAGACACAGUGACGCUUGCAUUGCUUCAGAAAUGAAUCUGAGUGAACUGCUUACACACGUGCUUGAUUCAGUUACUUUAGAGAUACAUAUGCACUGUUAUCUCUAAACAUAUUACGUAAGCUAAACAAAUGGUUCUGUAGCAUAUUAAUUAAGAUCCAGCGCCAAAUGCCAGCUCUCAUCAGAAAAUAUCAGUUUUGUCUGGUAACUGUAACGCCACACACGCAGAGGAAGACCUCACCUGAGUACUGACUGUUCAUCGCUCCCUCUGCGUCUACAAUCGUUUCAUGUUUGGCACUAUUUAACACUGUCUAAAACUGCCUGUUUUCAUGUUCUUCUUGGAUUGCCCCUUUAGA